CCUGAUGCAGCCAUGCCGCGUGUGUGAAGAAGGCCUUCGGGUUGUAAAGCACUUUCAGUCAGGAGGAAGGUGGUGUAGCUAAUAUCUGCACCAAUUGACGUUACUGACAGAAGAAGCACCGGCUAACUCCGUGCCAGCAGCCGCGGUAAUACGGAGGGUACAAGCGUUACUCGGAAUCACUGGGCGUAAAGAGCACGUAGGCGGCCUUGCAAGUCAGAUGUGAAAUCCAACGGCUUAACCGUUGAACUGCAUUUGAAACGGGAAGGCUAGCGUAUGGGAGAGGUAGGUGGAAUUCUCGGUGUAGGGGUAAAAUCCGUAGAGAUCGAGAGGAAUACUCAUUGCGAAGGCGACCUGCUGGAACAUUACUGACGCUGAGGUGCGAAAGCGUGGGGAGCAAACA
rnacentral:rRNA from 1 species